GCACAGAACCUUCCAGAACACGCUGCUCAAUCAUGAGCCUCUCACCCCAAGGGGGGCACCUGGGGCCAACCCCCCACUCCUUCCACAAGGCCACUCGCCUCAGGUUUAGUGUGAGCUGCUCAGAGAACCACAGCACACUCUCCACAGUUAAUGUUGGAAAAGAGCACAGGACAGAAAUACAAGACCAUACCACAGCACUGAAG
rnacentral:lncRNA from 1 species